UACGUAGGGGGCUAACGUUGUCCGGAAUCAUUGGGCGUAAAGAGCGUGUAGGCGGCUCGGUAAGUCCGCUGUGAAAGUCCAGGGCUCAACCCUGGAAUGCCAGUGGAAACUGUCGAGCUAGAGUCCGGAAGAGGCGAGUGGAAUUCCUGGUGUAGCGGUGAAAUGCGUAGAUAUCAAGUGGAACACCAGUGGCGAAGGCGAGUCUCUGGACAUUUCCUGACGCUGAGGCACGAAAGCCAGGGGAGCAAACGGG
rnacentral:rRNA from 1 species